UACGGGGGGAGCAAGCGUUGUUCGGAUUUACUGGGCGUAAAGGGCGCGUAGGCGGUCGUGACAAGUCACUUGUGAAAUCUCCGGGCUUAACUCGGAACGGUCAAGUGAUACUGUCGGACUAGAGUACAGAAGGGGCAACUGGAAUUCUCGGUGUAGCGGUGAAAUGCGUAGAUAUCAGGAGGAACACCAAUUGCGAAGGCAGCUCGCUGGGACGUUACUGACGCUGAGACGCGAAAGCGUGGGGAGCAAACAGG
rnacentral:rRNA from 1 species